ACUAUGACAACAAAGUCCAGUGUAGGCUGAAGAUGGCCACCACUAUGCGCGAAAGACAGCAGUGACCCCAGUCUGCCUUCACCAGAUGGGCUACUGUGUAGCCCUAUCCAGACAGAGCCUAGCCGGGAGGCAAAGCGGCCAGCAAUCAAGCCCCGCAAGUAAGGCCACUGUCUGAGGUCUCGGCUGGCCGAAAGCACGAACCCCUGAUGCCGGCUAUUCUGGUCCAACCCAAUGCCUCUUCUGCACACGCAACCCACAUUGUGAACCUACCAUGCAAUAUCCUACAUGUGCACAGGGUCUCCUGCCCAUAUAUCUCGAAAAUUUGAAUAAUUGCCUUGCGGUACCAACCUGCCUCCACCCAAUACUUUCCUCCCACCAUCUCCCUUCCGUACCCUCUCCACUCGCCUGACACCCUGUCUCCUACAUCCCAAUCUGGAAUGUAGAAUCUACCUCCCCUGUGCCCCGUGGCACUAUUUGCCAACGUCUGUGCCAUAAACACACAUAAAUCUAGGCACUCAUAACUUGACUGAUUCGACAAAGCAUCCCCCAUCACCUCCCGACCUCUGUGACAUGAACACGACUCACCCGCCAUCCCUCCAGUGAAAAUUGCGCAACUGCCUCCACUCAGCGAUCUUUCCCAUCCAUAUCGCCUACUUCCAGACUUCCGAGGCUGUGCGGCUCCCUCGCACCUCUGAUGUCUACAUAUGUACUGCCUGCUACUCCACCAUCAUCCGCAUUCACCCUACUCCUACCUUGCAUCUCAGAACCACAUGGCUCCUUUAUGCCCUAUAUAUGGGCAGCCCCUGCCGAUCCUCUUCCAGCUCUCGCUCCACCUACCCUUCUUACCCGCCCUGAAAUGGAUGACACUGGAGCAUCUGGCCCAUACCCGCCGUUGCCAGUGCUGAGAGCCAUGGGGGCUAACCUGCAAAGAGUAGGAGGGCUACUGCGGUGCGCACGGAAGCCCAGGAGAGGGCCCGGGGGGAGCUGCUGUGGUGCAGAUCUUGGUGGUAGUAGAACAUUUUCAAACAAGAACUUUGAAGGCCAAAGUGGAGAUGGUUUCCAUGUGAACAGCAGUUGAACAUGGGCCAGUCAGUCCGAAAAGAUGGGAGAGUGCCAUUCAUAAGGAUGGGCGAUGCCUCUGUUCCCCUCAGCUGAUCAACAGGAAGUUGGGUCCCUAAACCCAGAGUGGCAGAGAGGACUACCCUCAGGGCAUCGAGUGCGGUGAUGCAAAAUGAUCUCAGAGAAACCAGCGGGAGCACCGCUGAGAGUUCUCUUUUCUUUGCAAAGUGCUGUGCACCUUGAAAUGGGGCCGCCCCGAGAGAGGGCCCAGAGCCUUGGAAAGUGUUGCAGUUCUGGCGGCGUCUAGUGAGCUCUCACUGGUCCUUGAAAAUCUGGGGGAGAAGGUGUAAAUUUCAUGCCAGGCCAUACCCAUAUCUGCAGCAGUUCACCAAGGUGAACACCCUCUGGCAUAUUGGAACAAUGUAGGUAAGGGAAGUCUGCAAGUCAGCUCCGUAACCUCAGGAGCUGGGUCGUUUGGGAUGGGAGUGAAGCAGGGCUGGGCGAUGCUGCAGCUGGAAGAGGCCUCUCCCCUUGAGGCGACAGCGACUCUGUAUGCAAGCCGGCCCUUCCUGUGGAUCACCCCAGCUGCGGUGGUCACCUCUCUCAUUCCCUCCGUGGUUCGGACGAACGUUCUGCCUCAGCGAUGCCUAGCAGCUGACUUGGAACUGGUGCGGUCCAGGGGAAUCCGACAGUUUAAAUAAAACAAAGCAUCGCGAAGGCCCACGGUGGGUGUUGGCACAAUGUGAUUUUUGCCCAGUGCUCUGAAUAUCAAAGUGAAGAAAUUCAAUGAAGGGCGGGUAAAUGGCAGGAGUAACUAUGACUCUCUUAAGGUAGCCAAAUGCCUCGUCAUCUAAUUAGUGACAGACAUGAAUGGAUUAACGAGAUUCCCACUGUUCCUACCUACUAUCUAGUGAAACCACAGGCAAGGGAAUGGGCUUGGUAGAAUCAGCGGGGAAAGAAGAACCUGUAGAGCUUGACUCUAGUCUGGCACUGUGAAGAGACAUGAAAGGUGUAGGAUAAGUGGUAGGCCCUCGGGCCACCGGUGAAAAAGAACUACUUUUAUUGUUUGUUCACUUAACUGUUGAGGCAGGGGAAGAGCCUGGUGCGACUCUCCCUUCUGGCUCCAAGUGCCUGUUACUAGCUGGGAGCGACCUGCUCUGGGGACAGUGGCAGGUGGGGAGAUUGACUGGGGCGGUACACCUGUCAAAUGAUGACGCAGGGGUCCUAAAUUGAGCUCAGGGAGGACAGAAACCUUCCAUGGAGCAGAAGGACAAAAGCUUGCUUGAUCUUGAUUGUCAGUAGGAAUACAGACUGUGAAAGGGGAGCGUCACAAUCCUUCUGACUUUUUGGGUUUCAAGCAGGAGGUGUCAGAAAGUUACCACAGGGAUAACUGGCUUGUGGCGGCCAAGCGUUCAUAGCGAUGUUGCUUUUUGAUCCUUCAAUGUCAGCUCUUCUUAUCAUUGUGAAGCAGAAUUCACCAAGCAUUGGAUUGUUCACCCACUAAUAGGGAGCAUGAGCUGGGUUUAUACCGCCGUGAGACAGGUUACUUUUACCUUACUGAUGAUGUGCUGUUGCAAUAGUAAUCCAACUCAGUACAAGAGGAACCGCAGGUUCGGAUAUUUGAUGCAUGUGCUUGGCUGAGGAGCCAAUGGGCUGAAGCUACCACCUGUGGCAUUAUGACUGAAUGCCUCUAACUCAGAAUCCCCACUAAACCGUCUUAAAACUGUAGUGCCGUGGAGCCACGGUUGGCCUAGGAUAGCCAGCCUCUAAGCCAGUACGUUGAGCUGUUAGCCUCAGCACUCGAAUGUGAACAGAAGGGGCCACUUCUCCUGCCCGUAGUGCACCACAUAU
rnacentral:rRNA from 1 species